CCUCAGUGCCUCUCUCCACAACACCAUUACACUCUGAAAGUGCAGAAAAUUAAUUAUGAAGAGCAACAGACUGUGCAAAAUGCCUUUUAUCCACAACUCUAAGUCUACCAGAUCCUACAGUAAUCCAUCUGCCUUUCCUAGCAUGUCUCUGCGGCAGUGGCUUUGCAGCAGUUCCAGUCUGAGUUUCUUCACCAGAUAAUUUACAAAUCUCAGACUUCAAAAAUACAAUCUCCUGCCGCAAGAUAGAGAACUGUGUACAGAUUAGACAAC